UACGGAGGAUCCGAGCGUUAUCCGGAUUUAUUGGGUUUAAAGGGUGCGCAGGCGGGGGAUUAAGUCGGCGGUGAAAUUUUGCAGCUCAACUGUAAAAGUGCCAUUGAUACUGGUUUUCUUGAGUGUGGAUGAAGUAGGCGGAAUUUGUGGUGUAGCGGUGAAAUGCAUAGAUAUCACGAGGAACUCCGAUUGCGCAGGCAGCUUACUAAACCAUAACUGACGCUCAGGCACGAAGGCGUGGGGAUCAAACAGGAUUAGAUACCCU
rnacentral:rRNA from 1 species